CAGCAGCCGCGGUAAUCCGAAGGGGGCUAGCGUUGUUCGGAAUUACUGGGCGUAAAGCGCACGUAGGCGGAUAUUUAAGUCAGGGGUGAAAUCCCGCAGCUCAACUGCGGAACUGCCUUUGAUACUGGGUAUCUUGAGUAUGGAAGAGGUAAGUGGAAUUGCGAGUGUAGAGGUGAAAUUCGUAGAUAUUCGCAGGAACACCAGUGGCGAAGGCGGCUUACUGGUCCAUUACUGACGCUGAGGUGCGAAAGCGUGGGGAGCAAACAGGAUUAGAUACCCCCGUAGUCCCUGUCUCUUAUAC
rnacentral:rRNA from 1 species